GUAGGCAUUUUGAAACCGUUCAGAGAUUACUUCAAGUAAUGGCACUCUUUGGGAUCUUUGCCAGGGAACAUUUAAAUACAUUAUCAAUGGCAAAUAGUGUUUUCUAUGCUUGAUUUCACUUAAUAUUUUUGGGUGUUGCGCUCAUUGCAGUCAGAAAACAUGUUGGCCGAUCAAAACCCUUGCCGGUGAUGUUGCUUUCUCUCCCCAAGUCGUAUGAGAAAAUAACGGAAAACUGACCCAAGAUCAGUACUGUACAUAUGCAACUUCAACCCAAUGUAAUGCGGAGCGCGUUCCAGCUCGUCAACACAAUCGGCUGCAGGGGAGAUUCUGUGUAAUUUGACCUACAACACAAAUGCGCAUUAUGACUUCAACAAAGAAGGCAGCUUGGAACGUACCCGAUCCUCCCAUGCGAUCAUUCUCUUUCCCGCUCCAAAUAAAGACCCUUCACACCUACCACCCUUCUCUUCAGACCACUCAGACCCACACCUACCACCCUUCUCUUCAGACCACUCAGACCCACACCUACCACCCUUCUCUUCAGACCCACACCUACCACCCUUCUCUUCAGACCCACACAUACCACCCUUCUCUUCAGACCACUCAGACCUACACCUACCACCCUUCUCUUCAGACCACUCAGACCCACACCUACCACCCUUCUAUUCAGACCAUUCAGACCCACACCUACCACCCUUCCAUUCAGACCCACACCUACCACCCUUCUCUUCAGACCACUCAGACCCACACCUACCACCCUUCUCUUCAGACCACUCAGACCCACACCCACCACCCUUCUCUUCAGACCACUCAGACCCACGGCUGACACCUUUAGUCUCUCUCUCUCUUUCUUUCUAUCCAUCCUCUUGAUACAGAUCUCUUGAUCCAUCCUCUGGCUGCAUUUUAAAAUGGCUCCUGGCUCCAGCCGUAAGCUGUGUCCUAGUUGUAACACAUCAAUAAGAGGAGCAUCAAAGAAGAGCCAGUUCUGUGGUGCAACAAUCCAGCUAAAGGUCAAGUUAGAGGCCCAAAAAAGGAAGGCUACAGAUGAAUGGGCAAAUAAGACAAUGAAACAUGGAAGAUAUGCAACCUUGGUUAAUGCAGCAAACAAGCUGGUACAUAGGUUCCACAAGGUAGGAGGGAACCCCCUGCUACUCCUCAGCAAGAGGAAAAAGGAUAACAUUUUGUCGUCGACUGCACUGUGUCCUCACAGUGGUAUGAUGAGUCAGACCUCAAUGGCAGCAAUCCAAAGGUUGUAUGAGGCAAUUGUGAAAGUGGCAAUCAACACCCAUACCCCCACACUAUAACCUUCCAACCCUCCUCCUGUUGCUGCCCAAGAACUGUCUGAUACAGUUGCCCCCCAGGAGACCAGCUACACCCCCAUCCUCAACCAGGUUGAACACCCGAUAUCCCCCACCACCCAGGAUGCCAGCUACACCCCCAUCCUCAACCAGGUUGAACCCCCGAUAUCCCCCACCACCCAGGAUACCAGCUACACCCCCAUCCUCAACCAGGUUGAACCCCCGAUAUCCCCCACCACCCAGGAUACCAGCUACACCCCCAUCCUCAACCAGGUUGAACCCCCGAUAUCCCCCACCACCCAGGAUACCAGCUACACCCCCAUCCUCAACCAGGUUGAACCCCCGAUAUCCCCCACCACCCAGGAGACCAGCUACACCCACACCAAACCAAAGAAGACAGAGAGAAAGUCCUGUCGCCCUCAAAAAACCCUCCAACUCGCUGAGCAUGACAGUUCACCCCAUCCAAUCCCAUUCAACCCCAUCCAACCCCAUCCAACCGUAUCCUACCCCAUUCUACCCCAUCCAACCGUUUCCAACCCCAUCAAACCCCAUUCUACCCCAUCCAAGCCCGACCAAGGAAGAGGAAAUAUGACUACAUGCAAAAAGAGUGUCCAGUGCAUCCGGGGCAAAUGAUUUUCCCUAUUCUCAAGAUUUUUGCCAAUAGAACUUCAAAGGGGUGGCAAGAAAUGGGACGAUGACUGGAUCAAGGCCGAGGACCGCGUUUCUCCAGUUUAACCUACUUUAUGCACGAAUGUAUUCCUCACUCUCCCUUCACAUGUAUCACUGUCAAUCAUAAAUGGUUGGCCAAAUUCACCAUGAUUUACCAUUGAAACAUUCAUGGAGCGUCAGCAUGCCAACCAUUUCAUCUCAAUCAGUUUCAUGAGAAUAUGCAUUUAGAUAUUCUUCAUAUAAAGUGAGCUACAAACAUAUUGCAACAGUGACACAUUUUUUGUUGUUUUGGAUCUGUACUCCAGAACGUUGUAUUUUAAAUUAUACAAUGACUAUGAGGUUAAAGUGCAGACUAUCAGCUUUAAUUUGAGUGUAUUUUCAUCCAUAUCUGGUGAACCGUUUAGAAAUUACAGCACAUUGUGUACAUAUCCACCCCGUUUUGGGGGACCAAAAGUCUUGUGAUAAAUUCACUUAUGUGUAUUACAGUAGUCAGAAGUUUAGUAUUUUUGUCUUUUA
rnacentral:lncRNA from 1 species